UCCUCCGCUUUACGGAGGCAGUCUCAGAUGAGUGAUACAACAUCUGAUAGGGGUUGCGCUCGUUAUCCCACUUAAGGGUACACCUCACGGCACGAGCUGACGACAGCCAUGCAGCACCUGUGUAUGCUACCUUGCGGUUUGUUCUCCUUUCGGAGUCCUAAAACAUACAUGUCAAACCCUGGUAAGGUUCUUCGCUUUGUCUCGAAUUAAACCACACGUUCCUCUGCUUGUGCGGGUCCCCGUCAAUUCAUUUGAGUUUUAACCUUGCGGCCGUACUCCCCAGGCGGGGCACUUAGAGCGUUAGCUACGGCACCGGGAGGGUCGAUACCCCCGACACCUAGUGCCCAUCGUUUACGGCGUGGACUAC
rnacentral:misc_RNA from 1 species